AUUGAACGCUGGCGGCAUGCCUUACACAUGCAAGUCGAACGGCAGCACGGGGGCAACCCUGGUGGCGAGUGGCGAACGGGUGAGUAAUGCAUCGGAACGUGCCCAGUAGUGGGGGAUAACCAGUCGAAAGAUUGGCUAAUACCGCAUACGACCUAAGGGUGAAAGCGGGGGACCGUAAGGCCUCGCGCUAUUGGAGCGGCCGAUGUCUGAUUAGCUAGUUGGCGGGGUAAGAGCCCACCAAGGCGACGAUCAGUAGCUGGUCUGAGAGGACGACCAGCCACACUGGGACUGAGACACGGCCCAGACUCCUACGGGAGGCAGCAGUGGGGAAUUUUGGACAAUGGGCGCAAGCCUGAUCCAGCCAUGCCGCGUGCGGGAAGAAGGCCUUCGGGUUGUAAACCGCUUUUGGCAGGAACGAAACGGCGACUUCUAAUACGGGUCGUUAAUGACGGUACCUGCAGAAUAAGCACCGGCUAACUACGUGCCAGCAGCCGCGGUAAUACGUAGGGUGCAAGCGUUAAUCGGAAUUACUGGGCGUAAAGCGUACGCAGGCGGCUUUGCAAGACAGGUGUGAAAUCCCCGGGCUUAACCUGGGAACUGCAUUUGUGACUGCAUAGCUAGAGUACGGUAAGAGGGGGAUGGAAUUCCGCAUGUAGCAGUG
rnacentral:rRNA from 1 species